GACAGAGGUGCCGAGCGUUAGGCGGAAUCACUGGGCUUAAAGCGUGUGUAGGCGGGCCGUUAAGUGUCUUGUGAAAUCCCCCGGCUCAACCGGGGAAUUGCUGGGCAUACUGGCGGUCUUGAGCGAUCUAGGGGCAGAUGGAACAAGUGGUGGAGCGGUGAAAUGCGUAGAUAUCACUUGGAACGCCAAAGGUGAAGACAGUCUGCUGGGGAUCUGCUGACGCUGAGACACGAAAGCUAGGGGAGCGAAUGGG
rnacentral:rRNA from 1 species